rnacentral:rRNA from 1 species
UACAGAGGGUGCGAGCGUUGUUCGGAAUUAUUGGGCGUAAAGGGCGCGUAGGCGGUGCGGUAAGUCACCUGUGAAAUCUCCUGGCUCAACUGGGAGCUUGCAGGCGAAACUGCCGUGCUGGAGUGUGGGAGAGGUGCGUGGAAUUCCUGGUGUAGCGGUGAAAUGCGCAGAUAUCAGGAGGAGCACCAACGGCGAAGGCAGCACUCUGGGCCGGUACUGACGCUGAGGAGCGAAAGCGUGGGGAGCAAACAGG